GGAGGCGGGGCCGGCACCCGGGGUUGUGCCGUUGGAGGGAUAGGAGCGAGGCGCGGGGUUUCCCCGCGAGCGGCCCGGGAACCGGGUGGGUCGGGCGCCUGGCAGCCACGGCCCUUGGGCCUCCCGGGACUCUAGGCGAGGCUUUGGGAUACGCAGCUUGGCUUGGACCCUUCGGAAGCCCAGGACAUCAGAGGCCCAGGCUCGGCUGGGGGCAGGCAGGAAGUUAGUGCCUGGAGGCUGGCUUCUCUUUCCGCAUGACCUUGGGGCGGAGCGCUGCCUCCUGCAGCUCCGCGGGUGUGUUUUUAUAACAUUUCCCAGCGCCGGCUCUGCUCAGUGCGAGGCGCAGCCACGCCCUGUCCAGCUCCGAGCCGUUGGACUUAAUGUCCCCGGGUCGGGAAACGAGGCCUGAAAGGGGCAGGGGCGACUGGCCAGCGGCACGGUCUGCACAGCCCUCGAGCCUUCGGCGGGGCGGGGGUGGGGGGUGUGGGCUCAGUUUCCCUGUCCGUGGUGCUGAGGACGCCGGGGCCUCGCGGCUCGGGGCGGGCUGGACACCGGCCCCCGCAGCGGCCCGGAACGCUGGCCUAAGGUGACCUAAGUGGCAACAAGGGAGCUGGCAACCCCUAACUUCACCCAGGCCUGAAUAACCACUCAUGUCUGCGGCCACACCACCCCCGGUGACCCUGUGAGACCUUGGCCGGUCCCAGAGCUUCUCAGAACCCACCUAACCAACCAAGCAGGGAAACGAAGAAGGGGCUCAAGCGGGCUGGCUUCGCCAUUGGAGCUUACAUUUACCUUGACAAGGACGCGGAGCUGCUGAGGCUGCAGCAACGGCUGGGCCACGGGAGGGAGGCAGUGGGCCUAGGCGGGCAGCCUGUGCCAGGCAAAGGUUCCCCGUCCCUCAGGCAGCACUAACCUGGCUGCAGUUCACGGGUCAGCAGGCCCUCCGGAGAAGCCAGACCUCCCCAGAGCCACGCCCUUGGGUCCCUUGCCCCUCUGCUGUGGUGAGACCCCCACAGUUCCUGUCCUGGCCACCUGCAUGCACCGUGGUGCAGAAGUGCUCUGCCCUCCUUCCUCCUCCAGGGCCUGCAUGCUGUGGGUUCUCAGGGAACUCUGAAGGAAUGUAUGAAUGCACUGAAGGUGCCUGAGGAGGUGGCCCACUGCAGUGAGUUUUAAUCCCCGUCCCAUCACUAUUUGGCACUGGACAGGGGAUUAUUCUCUCUGUGCCUCUGUUCCAUGCCUGUAAAAUGGGGACAAUAUGAGCACCUACCUCACAUAGAUGUUAGGAGAAUUAAAUGGGUGAAGAGUUCAAAGAGCUUGGAUCAGAGGCUGGCACACAGCCAGAGUGUGAAGAGAAAGGAUACUGCAUUCCAGGCCAUUGUCAUCACAUCUACCUGCAUGAACCCUGCAACACCUGGCCUCUGGGCCUUUGAUCAUUGACUUGUGCCUUCUCUUCUUCCACAAUGCCAGCCACCAUGCCAGCACUUUCUUACCCCCAGAAACAGCCCCACCCUGGGAUUUGGGACCAUCCCUCCUUGGCUCCUGUCUUGCCAAUGGGUUUCAGCCCCAGGCAAGUUCACUAUGGAUUCAAUGUGACCAAAGAAAUGACAGUAGAAUGUUCUUGGGGUGAAAGGGUUAUACCCAACUUUAUUUCCACGGUGGCGCGUCAAUCACUAAAAUCCCAUCACUCAGAGCGUGUCUGCAUACAGCAAGCCGGUCUCUGCCUCUGGGCCUCUCUACCUGCACAGCCUUUCUCUGGGCCUCUCUGCCCACACAGCCAUCCUCUGAGCCUCUGUCCUCUGUUCUGGUCUCCUGCAGCCUCGCAGCCGUGCCACCCUGUCAUGCAGAGCACUGGGCAGGGCUGCUUAUAUAGAGUCAAUAACAAUGCAUUGCCCACAUGUGUGCAGUGAGCUAGCCAACCAGGGCCAGGUGAGAAUCCUGGCCACAGGAACCUUCAUUUUAUCCACAGGUCCACCAGCUCCCUUCCUCUGAGCUUAGGGCUCUGAGCCAGGACUCUCUAUUUACCCUCUUUCUUCCGGCCAGCGUUCACCUCCUUCUACCCCGUGUGUAGAUUCCACCCCCUCAUAAUGGGUUAGGAGGAUUCUUCUCCCUCUUGGCAGAGACACUGGUGAGUACUUCCCCUAUCAGGAGCACUUCUCUUCCGCGGGCGCACAGGAAGGCCACAUUUCCCAGCCCCACUGCCUUGUAGUGGGCCAGGACCACAUGACUCCUCCUCUCUAGGUCACUUCUCCCGGGACAGCCUCUCUUCCCUCCUUCUUCCCUGUCUCUGAUUAGCAGCAAAGGAUCCAAAGGAGCCCAGGGAAGAAGCCAGGGCAAGGUGCUGGUCCCAAGGUGCCUGGAUCCCUGCAUCACCACAUGGAAGGCUACCUGCCCACCACGCGAACAGACUAAGACAUGAGGAGAGGAAAAUGUGUCCCUUCCCAGCCAAGGAUGUUAAAUAUCUGGUAUGCCUUCCCCAAACUCUCUUCUCCUUCCACUGUGACCCAGGGAGCUUCCACGUGAAGAUAACAGCAUCACACGAAGGAUCCCAGAGUUACCACGUGGAGAAGAGACUAACCGGGAACAUCUACAGGGACCGUACGAGCCUGAAGCAAAGCUUUACAGUGUUCAACUGCUGUGAUCUGGGGCCUAUGUGUAAAAGCAGUUGGCUUUUCACUAGCAUGUCACUCCCUUCCCCCUAUUGUAUUCACCUGGCAAACCCCCACCCUAGGUGAACCCAGCUGACUCCUUUUUAUCUGCCCUUCUCAACUGCCACUGAACAGCUGAAUGUUCCUCGAGAAUCUACUAUAGCUGGUUCAUCUGGUUUUACUUAAAUUCCUGAACAUGAGCCAAGGAGAACCUGCACACAGUCCUACUGCCUGUGCCAGGAAGCUGGUUUUUCUCAUCUGAGAUGACCAACUUGAACAUCUUAACUACGUAGGUGUGCCAUUCAGUAGGUUAAGUAAAUUGACAUUGCUGUGCAGCCAACCUUCAGCAUGCUUUUCAGCUGAACUCUGUCCCCAUUAACCAGCUCCCAUUCCCCGCCCCCUCCAGCCCGUGGAAACCCCACCCCCACCCUGCCCUCAGUCUACUUUGUGUCUAUAUGAAUUCCUCUACUCCAGGGACUUCCUGUAAAAGGCAUCAUACAAUAUUUGUUCUUUUGUGUCUGAUCUAUAAUGUCAUCGAGGUUCAUCCAUGUUGUAGCAUGUGUCAGAAUUUUAUUCCUUUUUAAGACUGAAUAGUCUAUUGUAUGCAUAUACCUGUUUUGUUUGUUUAUUCUGCCAUUGUUUGGUUGUUUCCACCUUUUAGCUAUUGUGAAUAAUACUUCUAGGAACACGGGUGCACAAAUAUCUGUUCAAGUCCCUACUUUCAAUUCUUUUGAGGAUGGGGGUGCACCCCAGGGUGGAACUGCUGGAUCGAAUGGUAAUUCUGUAUUUCAUUUUGUAAGGAACUGCAGACUGUUUUCCACAAUGGCUGCACUGUUUUCCAGUCCCAAGGUGCACAAGGGUUCCAGUUUCUGUACCUCCUAAUGGGUGUGAAGUGGUAUCUCGUUUGCAAUUUCAAUUUGCGGUUCCCUAAUGAUUAGUGAUGUUGACCGUCCUUUCAUGUGCUCACUGGCCAUUUGCAUAUCAUCUAAAGCUUUUCAUAGAAGUAAGCGUCUGCAUAACACAGUACCCUUGUCUCUUUCUCCACUGCCGGCUCCCAAAUUUCAUCUUCAAUAAUGUUUGUGAUGAGGGUCUUCCCCUUACUCCGCUGACCUUCUCCAAGCCUUUGGGGGGGCCCUCACCACCCUUGCUCAUACUCUGGGGGUCAGGUGCUUUGCCUCUGUUCUGCUUCCUUCGGUCCCUCCACCAUUUCUUCUUCCAGGGAGUGGAGCCGCAUUUCCAGGACUGAGCUCUGAUCCCCAUAUUCUGGAAGCCCUGCAGGACUCAGAAACCACCGACUGGCCAGAUCGCUCAGGGGCUGCCGCAUCUGGUGCCGCAUCCGUUCUUUCUGCCCCUGGGGGCCCUUGGUAACUGAAAGGAAGGGAGCGACACACAGCAGCAAUUCACCGGAGAAUUCCGCUUUAUUAGGGAAAGGUGCUGGGUUAUAUAGGAAGGGGCAUGGGGUGAUUGUGGUGUUACUUCUACGGGGCUGGUGGCUAUUGGCCAGGUGCUGGGAUUGGGGUGGGGAGAGAGGUGAUUGGGCUUCAGGUGGCGCCAGCGGGAACCGAGGACUCGGAAGAGAAGCAGGAGGUUCGCCAUCUUAUGGGUGGGGGCCCUUCAGUAACCACAACCCUGCCUUACAGAGAGGCUGGCAGGAGCUUUGACCAGAAUUUAUGGUCUUCCUCCAACCUCCUCCCCUUCUCCGUUCUCCAACUGGUACCUGGUUCUGCCUGGGGCUACUUUACAGGGGUGCAGCUGUCCCUUCCUUCUCCCCACCCGCGUCCCUGCUCAUAUCUUCAUUGCCUCCCUUCUCCAAAGAAAUUCCAAUCUUAUAAAAGACAAAUCUCCAUUUUUAUUCAAAAUGGAUUUUUUUGCUCCAUCAAAAUACUUAAUAGCAGCUCACUGCAGAAAAGUUGGGAAAUAUGAAAAAGAAAAAGAAAAAUUCCUACCAGGCAAGGUGUGGAUAAAAUGAGAGUUCCUGUGGCCCGAAUUCUCACCUGGCCCUGGCUCACUGCACACCUGUGGGUAGUACAUGGCUGUUGACUCUAUAUAAAGAGCUCCACCCAGUGCUCUGGGCGCACGACAUGGUGGCAGGGCUGCAAGUGUGCAGGAGAGCAGAGCAGAGGCUGGAGUGGUGGCAGUGCCGAGGACAGAGGCCCAGAGGACGGCUGUGCAAAAUGACUAUGCAGAGAAGCCCAGAGGACGGCUGUGCGGACAGAGGGGCCCAGAAGCAGACCGGCUUGCUGCGUGCAGACUCGCUCUGAGUGAAUGGGAUUCUAGUGACUGACCUGCCACCCGGAAAUAAAAUUGGGUAUAACCCUUUCACCCCAAAGAACGUUUUCCUGUCAAUUUCUUUGGUCACACUGAAUCCAUAGCGAACUUGCCCGGGGCUGAAACCCAUUGGCAAGACACAGAGAUCACUGUGACCAUGCGGAUUUGCUGCAUUUCCUUCUAAUCUCUCUGGGGCUAUGGCUUUUGGACAAUUUUGUAUCCUGUCUUUUCUUUUUUCCUUAAAAUUAUACUGUGGCACCAACACAUGUAGAUUAAUGUAUGGCUUGAGGGAUGGACACAUG